GGAGAUAAAGAAGUGAGAGAGGAGCGUGAAGAGGGCCAUCUCCAGUGUCCCAGGAAGGGCUUGGACAUCAGGAUUGUAAGCAGUGGGUUUCUGUGCACAGCCGGUGUUUUCCAAGGAGAGCUGAUCCACACAUACCUCCCAAGGAAAACUGGCUUGGUAUGAGCCAUGCAGGGAGGGCCCUGCAUCCCGAGUGCGUAACCCUGCAGCCACCCGAGCAUCCCCGCCGCGGGUGUCGGCCUGCCCCGAGCCGUGAGCGCCUCCUCGCUGCCCUCUCCUGGCCCCUGCCGACGCUGCAGAGGUCGGAGCCUCCUCGCUGCCCUAUGCCCCUUCUGCUUUGUGCAGUUCUUCAGGGUACCGUCACUGUCGCUUAAGCUCAAGGCUGCCCGGGGCCCUAGGCAGUGACGUGCCUCGCUGUCCCCAGGGGAUCUGGCGGUGUUGCCUUCCACCUGAACAUCACACAGGGUGGGUGAAUCUGACUGCAUCACACAACAGAGUCAUGUAGAAAUGCCUCUAAAUUUUCUUGCGCUUAUAUACAUCAAGGAAGAUAGGUUGACUUCCUGCUCACAAUGUGCCAGUUAAUCUCCAGGCAUUAAUGAAACUUCACCUUUUGGCGAGGACUGUCAGUCACAGCAGCUCCCCUUACACCCGCAGCAGAUGCGCUCCUGUUGCCUUCCUCCUCCUACCCAGCACUGGGUUGAUUUCAGACAAUUGUUGCCUUUCAAACUCUAUUGAUUCCCUUUUUACAACUAAUUCCAGUGAUAAACAUUUAUAAACAGUGAUGGGAUCUUCCCUGUGCAGUGAAGAAUGCCAUCCCACAGACACAGAAAUGUGGCUCUCCUUCGGUCCCGGCCUUUUUCCUUGGCACUAUACCAAUCAGCACUUUGCUGAUUACUGAUAAUUUAGCUGGUUAUGCUCAGAGCUGCAUGUGUCAGUUUGUGUUAGUGACAAAACUGGUCUGUUAAAAACAAACAAACAGAACAUUUAAAACAAUAACACAUACCUAUUAAAAGUAUUCACUUGUAUGACAUUUUAGCCCCGCUCUUUGCAAAAGUUUCUGACCCAAUCGUUCACUGUGGAGCCCUGGGUUCCCACCUUCUCCUUGUACUGUCUGUGAUGGGUACACACAAGAAGCACGGCUGCUGCUGUGGUUCAUUAUAAGGGGAUCUGUGCUGCCUCAGGGAAUUUUAGACUCCAACUACUGAGGAAAGUUGAAAACUGCUGUUCUACUUGGUCUGAAAAAUGAUUUAGAUCUCCAUGGGCACCUGGUGCUUUUCAUUUUAUUCUUGCAAGAGCUUAAUUACACGAGUGAUUCUAGUAACUGUUAACACUGAAACUGACAAGAAUAAAAUACUGCAUU
rnacentral:lncRNA from 7 species